UUAAGUUAUUAAGGGCGCACGGUGGAUGCCUUGGCACUAGAAGCCGAUGAAGGACGUUACUAACGACGAUAUGCUUUGGGGAGCUGUAAGUAAGCUUUGAUCCAGAGAUUUCCGAAUGGGGAAACCCAGCAUGAGUUAUGUCAUGUUAUCGAUAUGUGAAUACAUAGCAUAUCAGAAGGCACACCCGGAGAACUGAAACAUCUUAGUACCCGGAGGAAGAGAAAGAAAAUUCGAUUCCCUUAGUAGCGGCGAGCGAAACGGGAAGAGCCCAAACCAACAAGCUUGCUUGUUGGGGUUGUAGGACACUCUAUACGGAGUUACAAAGGACGACAUUAGACGAAUCAUCUGGAAAGAUGAAUCAAAGAAGGUAAUAAUCCUGUAGUCGAAAAUGUUGUCUCUCUUGAGUGGAUCCUGAGUACGACGGAGCACGUGAAAUUCCGUUGGAAUCUGGGAGGACCAUCUCCUAAGGCUAAAUACUCUCUAGUGACCGAUAGUGAACCAGUACCGUGAGGGAAAGGUGAAAAGCACCCCGGAAGGGGAGUGAAAUAGAACCUGAAACCGUGUGCUUACAAGUAGUCAGAGCCCGUUAAUGGGUGAUGGCGUGCCUUUUGUAGAAUGAACCGGCGAGUUACGAUUUGAUGCAAGGUUAAGCAGUAAAUGUGGAGCCGUAGCGAAAGCGAGUCUGAAUAGGGCGUUUAGUAUUUGGUCGUAGACCCGAAACCAGGUGAUCUACCCUUGGUCAGGUUGAAGUUCAGGUAACACUGAAUGGAGGACCGAACCGACUUACGUUGAAAAGUGAGCGGAUGAACUGAGGGUAGCGGAGAAAUUCCAAUCGAACCUGGAGAUAGCUGGUUCUCUCCGAAAUAGCUUUAGGGCUAGCCUCAAGUGAUGAUUAUUGGAGGUAGAGCACUGUUUGGACGAGGGGCCCCUCUCGGGUUACCGAAUUCAGACAAACUCCGAAUGCCAAUUAAUUUAACUUGGGAGUCAGAACAUGGGUGAUAAGGUCCGUGUUCGAAAGGGAAACAGCCCAGACCACCAGCUAAGGUCCCAAAAUAUAUGUUAAGUGGAAAAGGAUGUGGCGUUGCCCAGACAACUAGGAUGUUGGCUUAGAAGCAGCCAUCAUUUAAAGAGUGCGUAAUAGCUCACUAGUCGAGUGACACUGCGCCGAAAAUGUACCGGGGCUAAACAUAUUACCGAAGCUGUGGAUUGUCCUUUGGACAAUGGUAGGAGAGCGUUCUAAGGGCGUUGAAGCAUGAUCGUAAGGACAUGUGGAGCGCUUAGAAGUGAGAAUGCCGGUGUGAGUAGCGAAAGACGGGUGAGAAUCCCGUCCACCGAUUGACUAAGGUUUCCAGAGGAAGGCUCGUCCGCUCUGGGUUAGUCGGGUCCUAAGCUGAGGCCGACAGGCGUAGGCGAUGGAUAACAGGUUGAUAUUCCUGUACCACCUAUAAUCGUUUUAAUCGAUGGGGGGACGCAGUAGGAUAGGCGAAGCGUGCGAUUGGAUUGCACGUCUAAGCAGUAAGGCUGAGUAUUAGGCAAAUCCGGUACUCAUUAAGGCUGAGCUGUGAUGGGGAGAAGACAUUGUGUCUUCGAGUCGUUGAUUUCACACUGCCGAGAAAAGCCUCUAGAUAGAAAAUAGGUGCCCGUACCGCAAACCGACACAGGUAGUCAAGAUGAGAAUUCUAAGGUGAGCGAGCGAACUCUCGUUAAGGAACUCGGCAAAAUGACCCCGUAACUUCGGGAGAAGGGGUGCUCUUUAGGGUUAACGCCCAGAAGAGCCGCAGUGAAUAGGCCCAAGCGACUGUUUAUCAAAAACACAGGUCUCUGCUAAACCGUAAGGUGAUGUAUAGGGGCUGACGCCUGCCCGGUGCUGGAAGGUUAAGAGGAGUGGUUAGCUUCUGCGAAGCUACGAAUCGAAGCCCCAGUAAACGGCGGCCGUAACUAUAACGGUCCUAAGGUAGCGAAAUUCCUUGUCGGGUAAGUUCCGACCCGCACGAAAGGCGUAACGAUUUGGGCACUGUCUCAACGAGAGACUCGGUGAAAUCAUAGUACCUGUGAAGAUGCAGGUUACCCGCGACAGGACGGAAAGACCCCGUGGAGCUUUACUGUAGCCUGAUAUUGAAAUUCGGCACAGCUUGUACAGGAUAGGUAGGAGCCUUUGAAACGUGAGCGCUAGCUUACGUGGAGGCGCUGGUGGGAUACUACCCUAGCUGUGUUGGCUUUCUAACCCGCACCACUUAUCGUGGUGGGAGACAGUGUCAGGCGGGCAGUUUGACUGGGGCGGUCGCCUCCUAAAAGGUAACGGAGGCGCUCAAAGGUUCCCUCAGAAUGGUUGGAAAUCAUUCAUAGAGUGUAAAGGCAUAAGGGAGCUUGACUGCGAGA
rnacentral:rRNA from 1 species